CCCAGACAGCCAGGAUGUUGGCUUAGAAGCAGCCAUCAUUUAAAGAAAGCGUAAUAGCUCACUGGUCGAGUCGGCCUGCGCGGAAGAUGUAACGGGGCUAAACCAUGCACCGAAGCUGCGGCAGCGACGCUGUGCGUUGUUGGGUAGGGGAGCGUUCUGUAAGCCUGUGAAGGUGGCCUGUGAGGGUUGCUGGAGGUAUCAGAAGUGCGAAUGCUGACAUAAGUAACGAUAAAGCGGGUGAAAAGCCCGCUCGCCGGAAGACCAAGGGUUCCUGUCCAACGUUAAUCGGGGCAGGGUGAGUCGACCCCUAAGGCGAGGCCGAAAGGCGUAGUCGAUGGGAAACGGGUUAAUAUUCCCGUACUUGGUGUUACUGCGAAGGGGGGACGGAGAAGGCUAUGUUGGCCGGGCGACGGUUGUCCCGGUUUAAGCGUGUAGGCUGGUUUUCCAGGCAAAUCCGGAAAAUCAAGGCUGAGGCGUGACGACGAGGCACUACGGUGCUGAAGCAACAAAUGCCCUGCUUCCAGGAAAAGCCUCUAAGCAUCAGGUAACACGAAAUCGUACCCCAAACCGACACAGGUGGUCAGGUAGAGAAUACCAAGGCGCUUGA
rnacentral:rRNA from 1 species